GAGUAUUUGUUUAAUAUAUGUAUUCAGGUGAUGAGUAUUUGUUUAAUAAUUGUAUUCAGGUGAUGAGUAUUUGUUUAAUAAUUGUAUUCAGGUGAUGAGUAUUUGUUUAAUAAUUGUGUACAGGUGAUGAGUAUUUGUUUAAUAAUUGUGUACAGGUGAUGAGUAUUUGUUUAAUAAUUGUAUUCAGGUGAUGAGUAUUUGUUUAAUAAUUGUGUUCAGGUGAUGAGUAUUUGUUUAAUAUUUGUGUACAGGUGAUGAGUAUUUGUUUAAUAAUUGUAUUCAGGUGAUGAGUAUUUGUUUAAUAAUUGUAUACAGGUGAUGAGUAUUUGUUUAAUAUAUGUAUUCAGGUGA